rnacentral:rRNA from 1 species
UAGGGAAUCUUCGGCAAUGGACGAAAGUCUGACCGAGCAACGCCGCGUGAGUGAAGAAGGUUUUCGGAUCGUAAAACUCUGUUGUUAGAGAAGAACAAGGACGUUAGUAACUGAACGUCCCCUGACGGUAUCUAACCAGAAAGCCACGGCUAACUACGUGCCAGCAGCCGCGGUAAUACGUAGGUGGCAAGCGUUGUCCGGAAUUAUUGGGCGUAAAGCGAGCGCAGGCGGUUUCUUAAGUCUGAUGUGAAAGCCCCCGGCUCAACCGGGGAGGGUCAUUGGAAACUGGGAGACUUGAGUGCAGAAGAGGAGAGUGGAAUUCCAUGUGUAGCGGUGAAAUGCGUAGAUAUAUGGAGGAACACCAGUGGCGAAGGCGGAUCUCUGGUCUGUAAAUGACGCUGAGGCUAGAAAGCGUGGGGAGCAAACAGG